GAUGAACGCUGGCGGCGUGCUUAACACAUGCAAGUCGAACGAAGCACUUUAUUACGAUUUCUUCGGAAUGACGAUUUAGUGACUGAGUGGCGGACGGGUGAGUAACGCGUGGGUAACCUGCCUUAUACAGGGGGAUAACAGUUAGAAAUGACUGCUAAUACCGCAUAAGCGCACAGGAUUGCAUGAUCUGGUGUGAAAAACUCCGGUGGUAUAAGAUGGACCCGCGUCUGAUUAGCUGGUUGGUGAGGUAACGGCCCACCAAGGCGACGAUCAGUAGCCGACCUGAGAGGGUGACCGGCCACAUUGGGACUGAGACACGGGCCCAAACUCCUACGGGAGGCAGCAGUGGGGAAUAUUGCACAAUGGGGGAAACCCUGAUGCAGCGACGCCGCGUGAGCGAAGAAGUAUUUCGGUAUGUAAAGCUCUAUCAGCAGGGAAGAAAAAAAUGACGGUACCUGACUAAGAAGCCCCGGCUAACUACGUG
rnacentral:rRNA from 1 species